UCCCAAGACGGGAGGAGAUUUGGGUGUGAGGCUUCGGAGGAAAAUGGGGAAGAUGGCUGGGUCGAAUGGGGACUACGAGGAGUGCCGUCGCCUGAGGGUGGAAGAGAACAGGAAGAGGAUGGAAUAGCUCCAUCUCAACAAGCUCGCCGCCGCCCUGCAGGUGAAGCAGAGCAAGAUGCGGGCUCCUCGAAAAUCAGUCAGAGCGCUCUUCCGUGCCCGUGAGAUGCUUGAGCCGCACGGCCAACAAACCUGCUCCUAUCUACUAUGAAAGACUACCAAUUGACUUCUGUCACAAGCAUCUCCCGCACCAAGACGACACUGUGACUCUUGUGGAUGAGGAUAGAGAAAAAGUUGGGGCCAAGUAUAUCUUUGAUUGGAACCGCUUUAGUGGUGGGUGGAAAGGUUUCUCUGUCACCCACGGUCUUGUCGGUGGAGAUACUCUGCUAUUCCAGCUGAUCUAGCCAUUGACAUUUAAGGUACAUAUCGUCCGAGCCUACGACUCCUCGGAGAAGGAAGCAGAAGUCUCUUUAAGAGGAGGAAGCAGAAGACCAUGAAGGAGAAGAAAGCGGAAAACUAUAAAGAGGAGGAAAGGGAAACAGAUGUUCGAUACCUAACCAGAAGCGACAAAUAGAUUAGAGUGAGUAAGAAGUUCUUGUUCUUUCAAACUUCUAAAUAUUGGUUGUAUUGUGUAAACAUCAAUGGCUUUUCACGAUCUAAAUCACUAUUUCAAGGCCGUGUCAAUUCUAACAAGAGGAUUGAAGGAAAUAUGAUGAAUGUGAACAAUUAUUGAAGCAAGUUGUAAAGUUAAUGCUAAACACUUGUUCUCAAACUUUACCAUCAACAGAGCAAACAUAUGUACCUAAAGGAUAUUACCAAGAGAUAUCCUACUCUCCCUAAGUAAUUAGUAUACUGAUCUUGUUCAUCCGGGCGUAAACUUAAGUUUAGUGUUUGUAUUUAGUUAAAUACGAAAUAGAUAUAUCGGCACAUUAUAAUAUUCUAAAACAUCG